GGUAUAUCCAAUCACAUGCGCAUGUUGCUGUGACGUGAUCUUGGAAGAAGGUCGUUGUGAUUUCAAAUUCUCCGUGGGACAAUCUGGGUUUGACGGCGUUCAAGAGCAGAGUUCUCUACAUUUGGCCCAACAGCUCAAAUUGAAACUAGAGCACAAGAUCAGAAUGAAGUUA